UAAUACGGAGGAUGCGAGCGUUAUCCGGAUUCAUUGGGUUUAAAGGGUACGUAGGUGGCCCGGUAAGUCAGUGGUGAAAACCUGCCGCUUAACGGUAGGCGUGCCAUUGAUACUGUCGGGCUUGAGUGCAGUUGAGGCAGGCGGAAUGUGUAGUGUAGCGGUGAAAUGCAUAGAUAUUACACAGAACUCCGAUUGCGAAGGCAGCUUGCUAAAGUGCAACUGACGCUGAUGUACGAAAGCGUGGGUAGCGAACAGGAUUAGAUACCCUGGUAGUCCACGCCGUAAACGAUGCUCACUGGCUGUAUGCGAUACACCGUAUGCGGCCAAGCGAAAGCGCUAAGUGAGCCACCUGGGGAGUACGCCGGCAACGGUGAAACUUAAAUGAAUUGACGG
rnacentral:rRNA from 1 species